AAAAAAAAAAAAAAAUCUCUUAUAAGGACGUUUUUACCUGGCUAUGUCCCAAUUCACUAGACAGGGCAGCAGUAGCAUAUUGGACCGCGACCCUGAUGACUCGGGUUUAAUACCGCAUGAGGAGCAAUUUGGGUUUACCUGCUUUGAGAUCAAAUGUUCUACAAUUGGGUUCAACAACCCUCUGGGCUGGAGAGCUACUAGUCUGUAGCACUCCAUCCCAUUACUCUUCAUUUUACAAAACUGAUUUGGAAACAGGCAUGGAAAUUAUCUGGCCCGCGGCCAAACUUAAUUGCCGACCCCUGAUCUAAGAGCUAUGGGAAAAGGCUGCCUGCUCUGAUGAUUCCUGAUGAGGUUUAUUUUCCAUCACAUGAGAGGCCAAGUCCGACCCUUGGGAGCUCCAUCUUCCAGGAGUGAUUUGCUUACAGCUUAUUUACAGUACAAUUUUUACAGUACUUGGACCUACAAGAAUCUGCUGCCAUAGUCUGGAUUAGUUGGUGAAGAGCACUUUCAGGACUUGGACUUGUUCCAGUUUACAAGUGGAACAUAAGCUAGAUGGCCUCCAGGUUGGCAUUGGCUCUGAGGGGGUUUGUACUUGUGUUUUUACUGGGCCCCAGUUGAACUUUUUCAAAUGGGUAAAGCCCCAUCAUUAUCAUGUCUCAAUCGCAAUGUCCAAACCUUUCUGGUCCCAUUUCUGACAUCUACACAUGGAACAAACACAAAAUCCAUAAACCAAACAUUCUUAUUCUCAGUCAGGCUACCCAUACAGGCUUCACACGUGCAUGUAAUAAUGGAUAGAGUGAGUUAUUUUGAGAACUAACAGAUACAGUAUAUUAGGCAGGUGGUCAUAAUCUUUUGGCUCAUUGGUGUGUAGUAACCAGAGCAAAAUCUCUGGGCCAUAACUUUAUCCCAACUUAACAAUAAGGUCAUAAACAAAAUCUAAUUAACAGAUGUGUUGUGAAAAACCCUUCUGUACCACUUCAUUUAUACAACAUGUGCAAUAACUAAUAAUACCCUUCUAAGCAAAACAAUUUGAAAAUGAUUUAGCUCUCAAUUUUAGAAGCUGUCUCAGUUUUUCUAUUUUUAGUUCUUUUGCUACAGUACAGUUUUUUUGCUUGCAUUUUGUGAAAGUAAGGCAAAAAAACAAAUCUUCACAAAGUAAUUCCCCAAAUUUCCUUCAAGCUACCCGCAGCUUAUUGGACUUUCAAGAAUUAUGCUUAUCAUUUUUGGCAAAACAUUUCAAACUCCUCUGUUUUUAAGCUGAACACUAUUCAAAUAGUGACAGCUCCAUUAGAUCAUAUCUUAGCAUGUGUAUUAGCAACAUUGUAGGUUGAACAAAACACUGACUUCAUCAAAAUCCCUUCAGAAGAGCUUACCUUCACUUUAAGAACUUCACUUAGUGUAGUCCACAAUUCAACAAGAUCAUCAUCAUAAUCUUCAACAUUAUCAUCAUUAUUAUUGACAUCUUUCGUUUGCAAUCUUUUUAGAGCAAAGCAUUACGCCAUGAUGAGUCAAUGAUCUGACAAAGUUAGCAUCAAAAACACAUGAUCAGUGACUGAAAUAUGAUAAUUGAUGAAUUUAUGCACUACAAAUUCCUUUACCAGUGUUGAAACUGUUCUCUAUGCAACAUCAACAUUGACACACCUUUACUUUAGAGAUGGCAAAGAUUUCUUUUCUUUCACUGUGUGAAUGAAAUCAAACAGACAUGAUUUCUUUUGAAAAGAAAUCUAAUGAAUGUAAUCAUGAACACAAAACUAACAAAAAAUAAAUCCACUGAAGCUGAUUCA
rnacentral:lncRNA from 1 species